CCUGACGAGCGAAGCGGUCAGACCGGAGGUAAAAUCUGCGUGGCUUUUCAACGAUAGUCACUGACAACUAAGGAACACAGAGGGGCUGAGAAGUUGCACCGUGGUGGCUUUAUUUCUGCUGGACAGGUCACCUGCAGUCUUCCAACACCCUGUGCUUCUCACCAGUAUACGCUGAUCAGACCAUGCUGGCUGGCCUGGAUUACAACCACUGUGUCCACAGACCAGCCAGGAGAAAGCUGACACAGUUCAGUACAGCAAAGUGUACAACAAAGAGUCCAGGAAGUGGAGCUUGUACUCAUUGAAGGUGGAAAAGGACUAAAGUUACAUCGCAGAACUCCUAGAGUGCCAGCUGCCGCCUCCUCCUCCAGUUGUCUACUACUGAGAUGCCUAGAAGCAGAACCAGGAGACCUGAUGAUCCCCGUCAACAUGGGGUUCAGUCAGGUGUCCCUGUUGCUAGAUACAGCAAA